AACAUGGCGGAAUUGGUAGACGCACCGGACUUAAAAUCCGUUGAGUAUUGCACUCGUGCGGGUUCGAUUCCCGCUGUUG
rnacentral:tRNA from 1 species